rnacentral:snoRNA from 1 species
AUGGCCCUGACUGAAGACCAGCAAGUACACUAUGGUUGUUGGUUUCAAGCAGAGGCCCAAAGGACCAUCUUCCUGUGAUCUAUUGGUUGUUCUGGAACCUCAGCAGAGAAUGGCUAUUUCAUUUGGAAGAAACAACC